AUUGAUUAUGUUUACAUAAUCAUCUGGUUAGUUAACAUACCUUUUUCUUUUCUUUGAUUCUCUUCUUUUCAUCACUAUUAACCCUAUUCUUUUCAUCGCUAUUUUAGAAAACAUGGUCGGCAUAAAUAUAGAAACUCUUUUGUCGUCUCACUGCCUAAUUGGUCCUUUGCUCAAAAACUCACUUUCAGAAUAUGACAAGGCAAUCAACAAGCUACAAGUAAAGUACAGAACAUAUAUCGUCGAGUACGACUUCGACACUGCCCAAGAGAAGUAUUUACAUCAAGACCCAAAUAAAAUCAAAAGUGCUUGUGUCUUUUAGUCAUAGUUGGAGAAAGAAGAGGAACAGGGGCGGUGACUAAUAAAAGGGGAAGCUAGAGAUUUUGUCUUCUUCUAACACCUAGUUGCUGCACAAGAGAAUGAUACAGGUGAAAAUAAUCAAGGAAGAGGCAGCGCAAAAGACAAAUGAAUGAGGCGGUGGGUACAGUAAGCAACCUCAAAAAGAAACAACUUGGGGAAAAAGCUGUUUUGUCUACGGAUCAGAGGCAACAUAAAUUGAAAGUUCAACUUGGAAGUAAUGGGAUUAAAAAAAGAGCUGAAGACUUCAGGUUGAAGGAAUUUGGAGGCGGCAAGAGAAUGCUUAUAAAUAGGCAUCACAACUCACUUUUGAGGGGACUGACUUCACACAUUACAGAGACACUACAUGCAACAAAGAGAAGAGCUUUGGUUUGGGGAUAGAAAUUGAAGAUUCAAGUCUUGGAGCAAAAAUUUCCCCUUUCUUUUAGGUUAUUUAUUGUUCUUAAUUUCAUGAAUUUUAUCUCUAUUUUAGUGUUGUUUUUGAUUAUGGAUAACUGAAUAUUCCUCUAGGGUCUUAGGUGGAUCUUGCAAGUUUAGAGACCUUGUAAUGUUCUAGUUUAUUAAUUUGAAUUUCAGUUUUUAUUCCAAUCAAGUUUGUUCUAUUGAUUUUAUCAUAUGAUUAGGAAUGAUCAAACCUUUGCAUGCUAACAAUCAGUUAAUUGAUCAGCGAUCGUACUGCAAUUAAUUGGUGGACCUAUAGAACAAUUGAGACUAGAAUUAUUGCAUGAUCAAACCUUAAUUUUAGUCUUCCAAUCAUUCAACCUUUUCGCGCUUCAUGCUUUUCUUGGUUUCAACUCUUUGAAUGACCAAACAAAGUGUUAACGUAGGAGAAAGAAUAUUAAUCACGAAUGACCAAACGGAUUAGUAGUUUUAGUAAAGGGAUUGGUGAUUGAAUAAAAAUAGGAAUUUGAUUAGAACUAGACAUUAGGGAAUCGAAACUUGCAAGUGAAACCGCGACCCUAGACCUCUCUUUAUUGAUUA